UUUUGGACUAUGGGGGUAACCCUGAUCCAGCCAUCCCGAGUGUAUGUUGAGGGCCAUCGGGUUGUAAAGUGUUUAUGGCAGUGAAGAAAAGGUAUCUCCUGAUACGAGUUACUGCUGACGGUAUCUGCAGCAUAAGCAUCGGCUCACCUCGUGCCAGCAGCCGCGGUAAAACAGCGGGUGCAAAAGUUAAUCGGAAUUACUGGGGGUAAAGGGGGUGUAUGCGAUUCGGAAAGAAACAUAGGAAAACCCAUGGCUCAACCUUGUAACAGCAUUUUUAACUGCCGAUCUAGAGAAUGUCAGUGGAGUGUAGAAUACCACGUGUAUCAGGGAAAUGCGUAGAUAUGUUGAAGAAUACCGAUAUCGAAAACAGACCCCUGUGAUAAUACUUUCGCUCAGACACGAAAGAGUGUGGAGCAAACAG
rnacentral:rRNA from 1 species